rnacentral:lncRNA from 1 species
GAGUAUUCUGCUAUCGAGAAUGUCUCUGAUGAGAUAUAGGUAUAAGUGUCCCUUAGACCUGAGAUCGCCUCAGUGACUUGCAAGCAACUCACUGUGCUUUGGUACUGGACUAACUGAAUUUCUAAUUCAGGAACGGAAGGCUUCUGGGCACAGUCAAGUACUUGUGAAGUCAGAGUGUGAUCGAGAUGGGAUUGACCACUCCAAGAGUUGGAGAAGAAUGACUCACUGUAUUUCAAUUUAGCAAAACCUUGGCCAGGGUAAUCCAUCAGAUGGAUUUGAUAUUUUGAAAUACAAUGUGGACAACCUGAUCAGAGUUGACAGUUAAACUCUGGGGUAUCCUAUGAUCAUUUUGGUCAAGGGGAUGAAUUAUAUGAAAACUAUAUCCACAUGGGUUCUAAGGAUGUUGUUCUACACAUUCGACCUAUCCGAUCGUCGGGUACCAUUACUAGAUGGUCACUUCGAUUGGUAUAAGAAUUUAUUCUUAUGGUACCGACUUAGGUUCAGACCUAUGAGGUCACACACAUUAGAGUUCAUGAUCCAAUCAGAUGGUUGAUCAACGAUUAAGAAUCGUUCUAGGGUUAAAUGAUCAAUACGAUUGACAUUUAACCCAGUGCAAGUAUUACAGGAGGAUCGAUUAGCAAUUCGAUUACNNNNNNNNNNNNNNNNNNNNCCUUUUUUAGUGAUCCAUACAUGAAAAUAUGAAGGAGGUGCUCAAGAGUUGGGCGUCCCUUAACUUGCCAUGUUUGGAUAAGCCUUGACUAGGUGUUUGACCAAGAUAAGGACUCUAUCAUAUCUCUCUAUAUAAGAUGAGUUUCUUUGUGAACUUUUAGGAGAAGUUAGAGAUUUAAGAGACCUUUGUGCCAUCCAAAAUCCAGAGAGAAAUACCUUUGGGUCGUGGAGAUAUAAAAGAUGCAAGUUUGGGUGUCUAGAGAGAAAAACGUGAAGAAGAAGAGGGUCUUCUUCUAGGGUUUUUGUUUUCAUAUCUUUCCUCCCUCCAUCUUGAGUUUCCUGAGAGCAUCUCAGAUCUGAAACUCCUCCUUCUACUUUUCAUCUUUGGAAGAGUCCAAAUCAAGAAGAAGGAGGUACUUGAUCAACCAUCAAAGAAGGAUCAGCGCAGUACUAGCAUACUGUGCUGAUUUUCUGAAGCAGGACUUCUGAUUG